rnacentral:rRNA from 1 species
GGCCCGCACAAGCGGUGGAGUAUGUGGUUUAAUUCGACGCAACGCGCAGAACCUUACCCAGCCUUGACAUCUUCAGAAUCCCUGCGAAAACAGGGAGUGCCUCCUUACGGAGGAAUUGAAUGACAGGUGCUGCAUGGCUGUCGUCAGCUCGUGUCGUGAGAUGUUCGGUUAAGUCCGGCAACGAGCGCAACCCCUAUCGUUAGUUGCUACCAGUUCGGCUGGGCACUUUAGCGAGACUCCCGGUGUCAAACCGGCGGAAGAUGGGGAUGACGUCAAGUCCUCAUGGCCCUUAUGGCUGGGGCUACACACGUACUACAAUGCUACGGACAAAGGGCAGCAAGUUCGCGAGGACAAGCAAAUCCCAUAAACCGUGGCUCAGUUCAGAUCGUAGGCUGCAACUCGCCUACGUGAAGGCGGAAUCGCUAGUAAUCGCAGGUC